CGAAGCAACGCGAAGAACCUACCAGGCCUUGACAUGCAGAGAACUUUCCAGAGAUGAUGGUGCCUUCGGGAACUCUGACACAGGUGCUGCAUGGCUGUCGUCAGGCUCGUGUCGUGAGAUGUUGGGUUAAGUCCCGUUAACGAGCGCAACCCUUGUCCUUAGUUACCAGCACGUUAUGGUGGGCACUCUAAGGAGGACUGCCGGUGACAAACCGGAGGAAGGUGGGGAUGACGUCAAGUCAUCAUGGCCCUUACGGCCUGGGCUACACACGUGCUACAAUGGUCGGUACAAAGGGUUGCCAAGCCGCGAGGUGGAAGCUAAUCCCAUAAAACCGAUCGUAGUCCGGAUCGCAGUCUGCAACUCGACUGCGUGAAGUCGGAAUCGCUAGUAAUCGUGAAUCAGAAUGUCACGGUGAAUACGUUCCCGGGCCUU
rnacentral:rRNA from 1 species